rnacentral:rRNA from 1 species
UUUAUGGAGAGUUUGAUCCUGGCUCAGAGUGAACGCUGGCGGCGUGCCUAAUACAUGCAAGUCGAACGAUGAAGCUUCUAGCUUGCUAGAAGUGGAUUAGUGGCGCACGGGUGAGUAACGCAUAGGUCAUGUGCCUCUUAGUUUGGGAUAGCCAUUGGAAACGAUGAUUAAUACCAGAUACUCCCUACGGGGGAAAGAUUUAUCGCUAAGAGAUCAGCCUAUGUCCUAUCAGCUUGUUGGUAAGGUAAUGGCUUACCAAGGCUAUGACGGGUAUCCGGCCUGAGAGGGUGAACGGACACACUGGAACUGAGACACGGUCCAGACUCCUACGGGAGGCAGCAGUAGGGAAUAUUGCUCAAUGGGGGAAACCCUGAAGCAGCAACGCCGCGUGGAGGAUGAAGGUUUUAGGAUUGUAAACUCCUUUUGUUAGAGAAGAUAAUGACGGUAUCUAACGAAUAAGCACCGGCUAACUCCGUGCCAGCAGCCGCGGUAAUACGGAGGGUGCAAGCGUUACUCGGAAUCACUGGGCGUAAAGAGCGCGUAGGCGGGAUAGUCAGUCAGGUGUGAAAUCCUAUGGCUUAACCAUAGAACUGCAUUUGAAACUACUAUUCUAGAGUGUGGGAGAGGUAGGUGGAAUUCUUGGUGUAGGGGUAAAAUCCGUAGAGAUCAAGAGGAAUACUCAUUGCGAAGGCGACCUGCUGGAACAUUACUGACGCUGAUUGCGCGAAAGCGUGGGGAGCAAACAGGAUUAGAUACCCUGGUAGUCCACGCCCUAAACGAUGGAUGCUAGUUGUUGGAGGGCUUAGUCUCUCCAGUAAUGCAGCUAACGCAUUAAGCAUCCCGCCUGGGGAGUACGGUCGCAAGAUUAAAACUCAAAGGAAUAGACGGGGACCCGCACAAGCGGUGGAGCAUGUGGUUUAAUUCGAAGAUACACGAAGAACCUUACCUAGGCUUGACAUUGAGAGAAUCCGCUAGAAAUAGUGGAGUGUCUGGCUUGCUAGACCUUGAAAACAGGUGCUGCACGGCUGUCGUCAGCUCGUGUCGUGAGAUGUUGGGUUAAGUCCCGCAACGAGCGCAACCCCCUUUCUUAGUUGCUAACAGGUCAUGCUGAGAACUCUAAGGAUACUGCCUCCGUAAGGAGGAGGAAGGUGGGGACGACGUCAAGUCAUCAUGGCCCUUACGCCUAGGGCUACACACGUGCUACAAUGGGGUGCACAAAGAGAAGCAAUACUGCGAAGUGGAGCCAAUCUUCAAAACGCCUCUCAGUUCGGAUUGUAGGCUGCAACUCGCCUGCAUGAAGCUGGAAUCGCUAGUAAUCGCAAAUCAGCCAUGUUGCGGUGAAUACGUUCCCGGGUCUUGUACUCACCGCCCGUCACACCAUGGGAGUUGUGUUUGCCUUAAGUCAGGAUGCUAAAUUGGCUACUGCCCACGGCACACACAGCGACUGGGGUGAAGUCGUAACAAGGUAACCGUAGGUGAACCUGCGGUUGGAUCACCUCCUUU